GAAGCUCGCGCCUCUCCAACGCCCCAGUCCCACCUCGAGGCCGGCGGGCUUGCUUCCCACGUGCCUCCCUCCUGCCCCAAACUCCCAUAACCGCCGCUUCAGAAGUCCUUGAACUUGCUAUCUACAGAAAUCUCUUCACACCCGGCCAACAACCAUCGGCGCUCUCCAUGGGCUAGUAUUGAAUCGGAAAGACAUCUCAGUAAACGGCGGAACUCCUUGAAAAAUGUGAAGUUGAGGGGAUCAGUGUGAAGGUCCUCCUCAGCUUGUACCUUGAACAUGACUCUCUAUUCCAUCCAGGUAGAGAAAAGAGGAAUUCUAAAAGCUGUGAUGAACCCUUUGAAAUAAACUACUACUCUGAGCCAAGAGCUACCAACUUUGGAAAGUUCCUCAUCCUCAGUAUGCUCAUCAAGAAGUUUUUGGCACAAACCAUUCUGGGAUUUAGGUUAAGUUCAAAAUCCAUGUUAGAAAAUUAGUUUUAAAAAAGAAAAUAAAGUAUUCUUUGAGAGUAA